UGUAUGUUUACAUCAAGUAUAAUAGUAAGACGAGCAGAGUAUAGAGACGUCUUUUUUUCUCGGUAACUUGUGUUACAGUGCCUGAAAGUGCAUUACCGAUGUAGAAAAAUUCUACCGAAUUUCGUACUUUGUGCCUAUAGUAUUCUGAUUCUAUAUUACACUACAAAAUUUCUUUCAGUGUAUCUUUAUCGAUUGUUUGUGUUAGCGGUCUAUUUUCAGAAGAACUGACUUCGACCUUGAAGUUGCAAUCGUCGUAACCCACGACGGUUAAUACAAAAUUUUUUUGGCCAAAAGUUGUGUAGUAACAGUAGUCCUACUGCUCAAAUUGCUUUCAGCAAACAUGUUCAUGCAUCCAGAACUUUUGCAUGUUCAGACUUAUAAGAAUGACCGUAGUUGGGAUUUUUUUACUGUCAGUUUUACAGGUAGUUAUGAAUUAAAGUGACAGAAUGCAGGCUUGUGAACAGUACAAUCUGUUUUUGCAUUGGAUGUUUCUGACUUUGUGAAAUGGAAAGCCAAGGAAGAGAAGACAGAAGGCACUAAAACCACAUAUGUGUCAUAGAUCUGCGAUAUUCAAGUCUCAAUCAAAAGGUGAGAGGCUGCUGAAGUCGCAAGAAAGUAACAAGAUGGGAAGCGAUCGCACUGCUGCCAUGAACAUCAGCCAAAAUAAAAAGAGGAAUUGUACUAUUGUUUAUUUCAAGACACAUUUUAGCCACAAACGGAAUGAAUAUUGUUUCUGUGCACCUAACCAGAUAUUAAAAGGAGUUCAUUGCUGGUGAUAUUGACUUGGGAGAAGAAUGGCUGAUGAAGCCAAUUACAUCCUGGAACAAUGAAUCGUUAACGGAUUUCAUGAACAACUGCACCCUGGGAAAAAGUUGCUUCACAAGCCAUCACGGGAAAUUAACAUCCCAUUAACGAGUUUACAACGACAUAUGCAAACAGAUUUCAACCUCCAUUAUACGCACCAUGAACCUUGAGUCCGCGGUUUUAACUUCAGUUCAACAAUGAAUUAAGAAUUCAACAUUUCCAUUUGUACCUUUUUCUACCUUCUCCCCCUUCCUUAACGAAUCACUGGCAACAAUUGCAGUCGUUAUUGUCUGAAGCAGCAAACUGAGGUGCAGGUUGCCAGUCCACGCACAUGCAACCUUGUGAAUGUAUUGUCAUCAGCUCUUCUGUACAUAGUGUAUUGCAGAAGAGUGGUGGAUGAUAAGCAGUUGUUGAAAUGGCUGGAUGAAGAGUUGGCUAACAAAGAUUGUAGUGAUGGAGAGUCAAUCUUCGAAACUGAUCACAAUUCUGAAAGUGAGCAGUUUCUGGACAUAAAUGACAUUAUCGAUAAAUUUGACUCACAUGUUGGGAAAGGUGGUAUGCAGGGCAGUCAUCGACCUCUGAUUCAAAACAGGUAUAUAUGCCAGCUUUGUUGUACUUCCAGAAGCUAGAAUUUCUAGGCAAGCAUUAUACAGGGGGUUACAAAAAGGUACAGCCAAACUUUCAGGAAACAUUCCUCACACACAAAUAAAGAAAAGAUGUUAUGUGGACAUGUGUCCGGAAACGCUUAAUUUCCAUGUUAGAGCUCAUUUUAGU